rnacentral:rRNA from 1 species
AGGGAAUAUUGGUCAAUGGAUGCAAGUCUGAACCAGCCAUGCCGCGUGCAGGAAGAAGGCCUUCUGGGUUGUAAACUGCUUUUGCCAGGGGAUAAAACGAGCAUGCGUGCUUAAUUGAAGGUACCUGGUGAAUAAGCCACGGCUAACUACGUGCCAGCAGCCGCGGUAAUACGUAGGUGGCAAGCGUUGUCCGGAUUUAUUGGGUUUAAAGGGUGCGUAGGCGGUCCUAUAAGUCAGUGCUGAAAUAUCCCGGCUUAACCGGGAGGGUGGCAUUGAUACUGAAGUGCUUGAGUGGAGUCGAGGUAGGCGGAAUUGACGGUGUAGCGGUGCAAUGCUUAGAUAUCGUCAAGAACACCGAUAGUGUAGACAGCUUACUAGGCUUCAACUGACGCUGAGGCACGAAAGUGUGGGGAUCAAA